UACGAAGGGGGCUAGCGUUGUUCGGAUUUACUGGGCGUAAAGCGCACGUAGGCGGAUCGUUAAGUCGGGGGUGAAAUCCUGGAGCUCAACUCCAGAACUGCCUUCGAUACUGGCGAUCUUGAGUCCGGAAGAGGUGAGUGGAACUCCUAGUGUAGAGGUGGAAUUCGUAGAUAUUAGCUAGAACACCAGUGGCGAAGGCGGCCAACUGGUCCGACACUGACGCUGAGGUGCGAAAGCGUGGGGAGCAAACAGG
rnacentral:rRNA from 1 species